UACGGAGGGUGCAAGCGUUAUCCGGAUUCACUGGGUUUAAAGGGUGUGUAGGCAGAUAUUUAAGUCAGUGGUGAAAUCUCCGGGCUCAACCCGGAAACUGCCAUUGAUACUAUUUAUCUUGAAUUCUGUUGAGGUGGGCGGAAUACAUCAUGUAGCGGUGAAAUGCUUAGAUAUGAUGUAGAACACCGAUUGCGAAGGCAGCUCACUAAGCAGACAUUGACGCUGAGGCACGAAAGCGUGGGGAUCAAACAGG
rnacentral:rRNA from 1 species